rnacentral:rRNA from 1 species
UACAGAGGGGGCGAGCGUUGUUCGGAAUUAUUGGGCGUAAAGGGCGCGUAGGCGGUGCGGCAAGUCACCUGUGAAAACCCAGGGCUUAACCCUGGGCUGGCAGUGGAUACGGACAGACUAGAGGUAGGUAGGGGAGAAUGGAAUUCCCGGUGUAGCGGUGAAAUGCGCAGAUAUCGGGAGGAACACCGGUGGUGUAGACGGCUUUCUGGACCGACACUGACGCUGAGACACGAAAGCGUGGGUAGCAAACAGG